rnacentral:rRNA from 2 species
UAGACAGAACCCGGGCGAAAGCCUGAUGCAGCGACGCCGCGUGAGGGAUGACGGCCUUCGGGUUGUAAACCUCUUUCAGCAGGGAAGAAGCGAAAGUGACGGUACCUGCAGAAGAAGCGCCGGCUAACUACGUGCCAGCAGCCGCGGUAAUACGUAGGGCGCAAGCGUUGUCCGGAUAUCAGCACAGCACGUAGGCGGCUUGUCACGUCGGUUGUGAAAGCCCGGGGCUUAACCCCGGGUCUGCAGUCGAUACGGGCAGGCUAGAGUUCGGUAGGGGAGAUCGGAAUUCCUGGUGUAGCGGUGAAAUGCGCAGAUAUCAGGAGGAACACCGGUGGCGAAGGCGGAUCUCUGGGCCGAUACUGACGCUGAGGAGCGAAAGCGUGGGGAGCGAACAGGAUUAGAUACCCUGGUAGUCCACGCCGUAAACGGUGGGCACUAGGUGUGGGCAACAUUCCACGUUGUCCGUGCCGCAGCUAACGCAUUAAGUGCCCCGCCUGGGGAGUACGGCCGCAAGGCUAAAACUCAAAGGAAUUGACGGGGGCCCGCACAAGCGGCGGAGCAUGUGGCUUAAUUCGACGCAACGCGAAGAACCUUACCAAGGCUUGACAUACACCGGAAAACCCUGGAGACAGGGUCCCCCUUGUGGUCGGUGUACAGGUGGUGCAUGGCUGUCGUCAGCUCGUGUCGUGAGAUGUUGGGUUAAGUCCCGCAACGAGCGCAACCCUUGUCCCGUGUUGCCAGCAGGCCCUUGUGGUGCUGGGGACUCACGGGAGACCGCCGGGGUCAACUCGGAGGAAGGUGGGGACGACGUCAAGUCAUCAUGCCCCUUAUGUCUUGGGCUGCACACGUGCUACAAUGGCCGGUACAAUGAGCUGCGAUACGCGAGGUGGAGCGAAUCUCAAAAAGCCGGUCUCAGUUCGGAUUGGGGUCUGCAACUCGACCCCAUGAGGGAAUUACCAGACGGCGAAAGCCUGAUGCAGCGACGCCGCGUGAGGGAUGACGGCCUUCGGGUUGUAAACCUCUUUCAGCAGGGAAGAAGUAGCAGCACGGAAGCGCCGGCUAACUACGUGCCAGCAGCCGCGGUAAUACGUAGGGCGCAAGCGUUGUCCGGAAUUAUUGGGCGUAAAGAGCUCGUAGGCGGCUUGUCACGUCGGUUGUGAAAGCCAGGCACGCAGCAU